rnacentral:lncRNA from 1 species
GGAUUAUUGAACCACAAGUUAUUUACUGUACUCACUUAAAAACUCAUGCCCUCUCCUCCCUCUAAGUCUCCCAGACUUUCCCCGUCCCCAGGUGCCUGCUGGUCCAUGGUCAGAGCAGCACAUUAUCCCCAGGUGCCUGCUGGGCCAUGGUCAGAGCAGCACAUCGUCCCCAGGUGCCUGCUGGGCCAUGGUCAGAGCAGCACAUCGUCCCCAGGUGCCUGCUGGGCCAUGGUCAGAGCAGCACAUCGUCCCCAGAUGCCUGCUGGGCCAUGGUCAGAGCAGCACAUCGUCCCCAGUUGCCUGCUGGUCCAUGGUCAGAGCAGCACAUCGUCCCCAGAUGCCUGCUGGGCCAUGGUCAGAGCAGCACAUCGUCCCCAGAUGCCUGCUGGGCCAUGGUCAGAGCAGCACAUCGUCCCCAGAUGCCUGCUGGGCCAUGGUCAGAGCAGCACAUCGUCCCCAG